rnacentral:tRNA from 1 species
GCGGGCGUGGCGGAAUUGGUAGACGCCCCGGAUUUAGGUUCCGGUGUCAUGGACGUGGGAGUUCGAGUCUCCCCGCCCGCACCA